GAUGAACGCUAGCUACAGGCUUAACACAUGCAAGUCGAGGGGUAGCAGGGUAGCAAUACCGCUGACGACCGGCGCACGGGUGAGUAACACGUAUCCAACCUUCCCAUAACUCGGGGAUAGCCUUCCGAAAGAAAGAUUAAUACCCGAUAGUACUUUUUCAAGGCAUCUUGAGAAAGUUAAAGAUUUAUUGGUUAUGGAUGGGGAUGCGUUCCAUUAGAUAGUUGGUGAGGUAACGGCUCACCAAGUCUUCGAUGGAUAGGGGUUAGGAGAGGAAGGUCCCCCAAAUUGGUACUGAGACACGGACCAAACUCCUACGGGAGGCAGCAGUGAGGAAUAUUGGUCAAUGGGCGAGAGCCAGAACCAGCCAAGUAGCGUGAAGGAUGAAGGUCCUAUGGAUUGUAAACUUCUUUUAUAGUAGAAUAAAGUGACCUACGUGUAGGUUUUUGUAUGUAUACUAUGAAUAAGGAUCGGCUAACUCCGUGCCAGCAGCCGCGGUAAGAC
rnacentral:rRNA from 1 species